CUUGACAUACACCGGUAACGCCCAGAGAUGGGUGCCCCUUUGUGGUCGUGGACAGGUGGUGCAUGGUUGUCGUCAGCUCGUGUCGUGAGAUGUUGGGUUAAGUCCCGCAACGAGCGCAACCCUCGUCCUAUGUUGCCAGCGGGUCAUGCCGGGGACUCAUGGGAGACUGCCGGGGUCAAACUCGGAGGAAGUGGGAUGACGUCAAAUCAUCAUGCCCCUUAUGUCUUGGGCUUCACGCAUGCUACAAUGGCCGGUACAAAGGGCUGCGAUACCGCGAGGUGGAGCGAAUCCCAGAAAGCCGGUCUCAGUUCGGAUUGGGGUCUGCAACUCGACCCCAUGAAGUCGGAGUCGCUAGUAAUCGCAGAUCAGCAACGCUGCGGUGAAUACGUUCCCGGGCCUU
rnacentral:rRNA from 1 species